rnacentral:rRNA from 1 species
UACGGGGGGGGCAAGCGUUGUUCGGAAUUACUGGGCGUAAAGGGCUCGUAGGUGGCCAACUAAGUCAGACGUGAAAUCCCUCGGCUUAACCGGGGAACUGCAUCUGAUACUGGAUGGCUUGAGUUUGGGAGAGGGAUGCGGAAUUCCAGGUGUAGCGGUGAAAUGCGCAGAUAUCGGGAGGAACACCCGUAGCGAAGGCGGCCCCCUGGGCCGUACCUGACGCUGAGGCGCGAAGGCUAGGGGAGCGAACGGG